CUACUACAGAAUGCAUGAGUACAACCAUUUUCCAUCCAUAGUUCAUGAACUACCUAGAAAAUGAGAAGAAACAAAGCAAGGUGAGCAAAGGUCGAGCAACAGUAGAAAAGUAGCAAAAAUCAGCCCCAGAUCUGAUAGAACAGUAAACCAGAACCAAGCAGCUUCAUACCAAACUUCUAAACAAACUUGAAUGUAAUUUAUAAACUCCAAACUCGAAUUGAAACAAGACUCCAAAUACAAGUUCACCUCAAGAUCAGUUUGGAAAAACUAAAUUAAACCAUCUUUAAGCCAUCUGAAUCACAGAUAACUUCAGAAAAACAGAAAACCUCAAGAAUGAAACCAAAAACCAAUUGAAUAGUAAAUUUUGUGAACUUUUUCAGCCGCCUUUGAUUUUCUC
rnacentral:lncRNA from 1 species